rnacentral:rRNA from 1 species
UACGGAGGGUGCAAGCGUUAUCCGGAUUCACUGGGUUUAAAGGGUGCGUAGGUGGUCUGUUAAGUCAGCGGUGAAAGCCUGGAGCUCAACUCCAGAAUUGCCACUGAUACUGACGGACUUGAAUCAAGUUGAGGUGGAUGGAAUAUUACAUGUAGCGGUGAAAUGCUUAGAUAUGUAAUAGAACACCAAUUGCGAAGGCAGUUCACUAAGCUUGCAUUGACACUGAGGCACGAAAGCGUGGGGAUCAAACAGG